GUGGCGCUGGAGUAUGGCAUCAAGUUCAUGGAGACCAGUGCAAAGGCCAACAUAAACGUGGAAAAUGCAUUUUUGACGCUUGCGAGAGACAUCAAGUCAAAGAUGGACACAAAAUUGGAGGGCAACACGGCUCAGGGAGGCGGCCACGGCGUCAAGAUCUCCGAGCCCCAAAAAAAGACCAGCUUCUUCCGCUGCUCUCUGCUCUGAGGGGGCAAAGGUCUCCGUAUUUUUUUUUUUUUUUAAGGAUACUGGACUCAACCGGACUGUGCUUCCUUUUCAGCACUUCCUGCCUCCCUCUCUCCCCCCCUCCCUUUCAGUUUCCCUUCCUCCUAAGUCGACACACAUGAAAUCUGUAUCAUUCAGCUGCAGGCGGAUCGACAUGUUUCCCUCUCUCUUUUGUCCUUGUCUGCUGAAGGCGUCCGUCGUUGGAUCCUUUAUCUUUUCCUUUUUGUUCAUACACACUUCCUCACUUGCUGUCCCCCCCCCUUCUCCCCUCUGUAGGACAGAGAGUGACUGAAUCCUGAGGAGCAGGAUUAUAAAAAAAUUAAUAGUCCAAUAUAUUGUAUUGCAAAGACACUCUUCCGUCCCUUCGGUAGUACUACGUUCAUCGUUUGGUUCCCAACUAGUUUCACAGCAGCUCUUCAAAUGUUGUUCAGUGGAGUUGAAUCAAUCCCAACGGUUUUGGGAUUGGUAUUUACAAGCGUGAUGAAACUUGUUUUUAAUGGUCGUCCCUUGCCUCUUGUGGGGUCAACCAGAGACUGAUCGGCUUGUUCAAGUAGUGAAUCGCUUUCAAAAGUAAUGCAGUCUUGCAACAAUGGCCGCGGGUUUUAAGACUUAUUGUUCGCUUCCUCAGCACUUUUUUCAUGCUUUUGGUUUGCAGUAAUUUCCUUGUAACCGUUGAAUGGGACCAAACAUGGGGGAAUGCAAUAAAAAUAUGGUUAAUGCGUGUAAAAAAUAAUUGACAGGUCACAUGACACCUAGCCUUAUUCCAGUAUUUCACUAGUUUUGUUCACUGAAAACAACAUUCCAAGCAUUAGAAAAUCCUCUCCCUUCCUUAAUGUACCACGUAGGUCAGACAGAAGUAUCUACAGGUAAGCGUGUCAGUAUUGCCACCAACCUCUUGCGUGCUUGAAUAUCAUUGCGUGCUACAUUAUUGUGGUGUGCAGUAUAAAUGAUGGCAUGCCCUAAAACCUUUAGUGUUGUAAUUAUCUAUUGUGCGAUUAAUUGUUUUGGCAAGCUAUAUGAAGUCUCUGGUUGCAACACCGGCGAAUAAAACCACGGGUUUAUACAGACCUCUCUGCUUACAAAUUUCCCCGCCACACUGUAUUGUGAAUGAGCC